rnacentral:RNase_P_RNA from 1 species
CCAGUUGGUCGGAUGGCCGCCCUUGCCUUAGUUGGCAGGGGAGGAAAGUCCGGACUUCACGGAAAUACGGUGCCGGGUAAUCCCCGGGCAGGGUAACCUGACGGAAAGUGCAACAGAAAACAAACCGCCGAACCUUCGGGCUUCGGUAAGGAUGAAACGGUGCGGUAAGAGCGCACCACUCGUCUGGUAACAGACAGGUAUGGCAAACCCCACCGGAAGCAAGACCAAAUAGGGAUCGCGCUGUAUCGAUUUCCAGAUCUGCGGUUCGGGUUGGUCGCUAGAGGCAAAUGGAAACAUUUGUCCCAGAGGAAUGGUCAUCGCCCGCAAGGGUACAGAAUCCGGCUUAUAGACCAACUGGCAAU